rfam:Puccinia sorghi strain RO10H11247 Scaffold_1688, whole genome shotgun sequence.
GUGUAAUUGGGUUGAUGAUUAUAGCAUCACUCAUGAAUGCUGAGGUUGUGGGUUCAAAUCCCACAGUACACA